rnacentral:rRNA from 1 species
AGAGUUUGAUCAUGGCUCAGGACGAACGCUGGCGGCGUGCUUAACACAUGCAAGUCGAACGAGAUCCACGGUGUAGCAAUACACCUGAAGAUCUAGUGGCGAACGGGUGCGUAACACGUGAGGAACUUGUCCCGGUCUCUGGGAUAACAGUUGGAAACGACUGCUAAUACCGGAUGACGUCGGAGCAUCGCAUGGUGCGCUGACGAAAGGGUUACUGGAUCGGGAGAGCCUCGCGGCCUAUCAGCUUGUUGGUGGGGUAACGGCCCACCAAGGCAUCGACGGGUAGCUGGUCUGAGAGGAUGAUCAGCCACACUGGGACUGAGACACGGCCCAGACUCCUACGGGAGGCAGCAGUGGGGAAUCUUGCGCAAUGGGCGAAAGCCUGACGCAGCAACGCCGCGUGCGGGAUGAAGGCUCUCGGGUUGUAAACCGCUUUCAGCAGGAACGAAAAUGACGGUACUGCAGAAGAA